AAUGAACGCUGGCGGCGCGCCUAAUACAUGCAAGUCGAGCGAGAAGACGUAGCAAUACGUUUGUAAAGCGGCGAACGGGUGAGGAAUACAUGGGUAACCUACCCUCGAGUGGGGAAUAACUAGCCGAAAGGUUAGCUAAUACCGCGUACGCUUCUUGGACUUCGGUUCAGGGAGGAAAGCGAUACCGUGGGUAUCGCGCUCUUGGUUGGGCUCAUGUCCUAUCAGCUUGUUGGUGAGGAACGGCUCACCAAGGCUUCGACGGGUAGCUGGUCUGAGAGGACGAUCAGCCACACUGGCACUGCGACACGGGCCAGACUCCUACGGGAGGCAGCAGUAAGGAAUAUUGCGCAAUGGGCGAAAGCCUGACGCAGCGACGCCGCGUGGGGGAUGAAGGUCUUCGGAUUGUAAACCCCUUUCGGGAGGGAAGAUGGAACGAGCAAUCGUUCGGACGGUACCU
rnacentral:rRNA from 1 species